AACUUAGGUGUGUCUGUCCAUUCUUAUGCUAGUAAUGUUAUUGAGACAAUGGAGAAGCACUUGCCGCUAGUAAACUUAGGUGUAUUAUCCUGCUCUGCACGAUGGCCAUAUUUUUUUUUGAAAUGGCCAUAAAUUAUGUGUUUAUUUUGGAUGGCAGCUUAAGAUUUUUGGUUCAUUAUUGUGUUUUGGUCCUGUGGGUAUUUCUUUGUGCCAAGCACCACCAGAAGGUUCACUAGUAGCUAGGUAGUGUUUCUUACUUCUAUGUCUGAGCUAGCUCUUCUUUAGUUUGGCUAAAACUGAAUGAUUAAUUUAUUGCUUUGGUUGGUGUGAUCGUGAAUAUAGUCCCCAAACAGUUGGUAUCAUGUACAUCCAUACUCUGAAUACAUGGUCUGAAUUUCUGCAGAGACUGCAGGUUCUGAAUUACUUGCCUGUGUGUUCAUCUGCACCAAACAGUUGGUAUUCUUGUUUGUACGAAAAGGGUUAUGGAAAGGCUCCUGGGUGUAAGAAUUACUUUUGUUGGAGAUGGACGUUAAAGGACGAGACCACCGGCCGAAGGAGCGCCCACCAAGUGUUCGAUUCUUUUCCCAAGUGGGAUACUCAAAACUCGAGGGUGCUAUACUGCUAUUUGGUGAAAUUGAUGGCAAGAAACCAACGUCGGUCUGUGAAAGCCCAACAUCUUUGUGCUUCUGCCUUAGAUAAUUUAUACUUAGAAGUACUGAGACUACCACCUUUUGGUGAUCGAUUUAUUAAUCAGAUGGGUACAAUUAUCAGUUUUGUAGCUGUGCCAAAUGAGCAUUUGGGUGUAACAUCUAGCCGUUUUUGAGUUUGUGCUGGACUGAAAGUAGUCACUCUGUUGUGAUGUGUGACUAAGUUCUUUAUGCUCUCACCAGGUUCAUAGUUCUACAUGUAUGUCAAUGCCAAAUAAGUCAUGUGGGGGAACUUGUUUCUCUCAUAAUUGAGUUUAUACACUACAUCAUAAUCUGGUUUUUUUUGUGAUAACAUUGUUCGUAUUUUCUAUGUUCCUUUUCAGGCAAAUAGUGCAUCGGUACAGUAUAUUAGUGUCUCCAUAUGCAUGAUACUGACCGUGCUUCUUAAAGGAAGGAAAAACUUUUGACGGUGAAAUAUAUCUGCUCUCAUAAUCCACAUAUAAUUCUUCUAAAUAGACUGUUUAAUUACUCCGUUCACCAUUUCUUCUGAGCUAAAGUCAUUGUCAUAUUGUGUGCAGUGCCAGUGUGAAUUACCAGAGUCACACGAGGGGAGUAGCAGUAUCAACACCACCUUUUGGGUCAAGUAUUGCUAUUUAGGCUGCUUAGUGUUUACCUGACACCAUCAGGUCCAAGGCAUUGGUAUGCUCUUCUUUUUGUACCUGAAAAUAAUUGUAGAACCAACUUAGCUAAGCUUAUGGCAUGUUGGGCAUCCAAAGUUAAUACGUUGGUGGACAAUCUGAAAUCUUAGACCAUGAUGGUGCUUCAGAAUUUGGAAUAUGUUACUACUUUGAAAAUGCUAUGCUACUACUUAUGGCAUGUUGGGCAUCCACUUCACUCAAAUCUGUAUUGCGGGACUAGCCUUUUGUGAUAGUUGUUUAUGUUACUACUUUGAAAAUGCUAUGUUCAUUUUCGAUCCAUACACACUGUAAUAUAAAGUUGCCGCUCCAGGCAUUUACUUGGUGUCCUACAUACUAUACAUGUUUGUUUUGUACUCCCUCCGUCCCAA